rnacentral:rRNA from 1 species
UACGUAGGUGACCAGCGUUGUCCGGAUUUACUGGGCGUAAAGAGCGCGCAGGCGGUCGUUCAAGUCGAGUGUGAAAGCCCCCGGCUCAACUGGGGAGGGUCACUCGAUACUGAUCGACUUGAAGGCAGGAGAGGGAAGCGGAAUUCCCGGUGUAGUGGUGAAAUGCGCAGAUAUCAGGAGGAACACCGGUGGCGAAGGCGGGUCUCUGGGCAACAACUGACGCUGAGGAGCGAAAGCGUGGGGAGCGAACAGG